ACUGCUCAGUAACACGUGGAUAACCUGCCCAAGGGUCUGGGAUAACCCCGGGAAACUGGGGAUAAUACCGGAUAGAUCACCUAUGCUGGAAGGGCUUGGUGGUUUAAAGGUAACGCCUUUGGAUGGGUCUGCGGCGGAUUAGGUUGACGCCGGUGUAAUGUACCGGCGUGCCUGUAAUCCGUACGGGUUGUGGGAGCAAGAGCCCGGAGAUGGAUUCUGAGACACGAAUCCAGGCCCUACGGGGCGCAGCAGGCGCGAAAACUCUACAAUGCAGGAGACUGCGAUAGGGGGACAUCGAGUGGCAUCUACCUUGGGUGCCUGUCCAACCGUCUAAAAAACGGUUGUUAGCAAGGGCCGGGUAAGACCGGUGCCAGCCGCCGCGGUAAUACCGGCGGCUCGAGUGGUGGCCGAUAUUAUUGAGUCUAAAGGGUCCGUAGCCGGCUUUGCAAGUCCCCUGGGAAAUCCAGCGGCUUAACCGUUGGGCUUUCAUGGGAUACUACAUUGCUUGGGACUGGGAGAGGUAGGAGGUACUCGGGGGGUAGGGGUGAAAUCCUGUAAUCCUCCGGGGACCACCGGUGGCGAAGGCGUCCUACCAGAACAGGUCCGACGGUGAGGGACGAAAGCUAGGGGCACGAACCGGAUUAGAUACCCGGGUAGUCCUAGCCGUAAACGAUGCCCGCUAGGUGUCACGACAGUCGUGAAUUGUCGUGGUGCCGUAGGGAAGCCGCGAAGCGGGCCACUUGGAAAGUACGACCGCAAGGUUGAAACUUAAAGGAAUUGGCGGGGGAGCAC
rnacentral:rRNA from 1 species